AAAAGGAAAUCGCCGCAUCGCCUCUCCAUCACCAUCUGCAUCCCCCUGUUUCAUAUAUUUAUCUCAUGAUCUUUGGGGCGAGACCCUAGACAUACUUUUGCGGCGGCGCCGCCCUUGCAACGCGCGCGUCCGUGCAACCGCAGCAGCCAUGCCCGACGAGCCUAAUCUCGGCAAGUACAUCGCCUGCAUCAUGUACCUGAAGUCGCGGGACGGCAGGAGCCAUCGCAGACCGGGUUGAGGAGGCUGAAGAGCGGCUGACCCGCGCUCAUCGUGCACCUCUUCCGAUCUCUCUCCUCUCGUGAGCCCUGGGCGGAGGAGGGAUUCGUUGCUGCAGGAGGGGAUCGAUAGGAAGUAAUCACUCUUCAUGGCGGAUGAUGUGCGCCCCACGCAGGUGGGGCUUAUUGGCUGGUUUCCUCUCUGUUUCCAUCCUUCGCUGCAUCGGUACAGGUACGAGAUUAUGUACCACAAAUCUUUCAUGGAUUCGAUGAUUUUAAGGUCUGGUCUCCCAAUUUUCCCUGGAAUUUCUUAGAAAGAAUGGCGAUGUGUACCACGAAUCUGAUGUAUUGUUGAUUAUGUUUAUUUUUGGGUUCACGAGAAUAAGGUUGGGAACAUAAUCUUCACAUUUCACAUGAAGGAAAUUGAAGCCUUAGCAGGUUGAUAUGGAUCAUGCGAAGAGCUUCUCCUGAUGUGGCGGCCUUGUGUGAUUAUUGAUUGCCAAUCAUUGUUUGUGGCCCAAUAUGACUGGUUUCAAUCCUUUAUUCUUUGUUUUUCUACAGCCUUAGGUUCUCAACUCUUGCUCAUCUGCUCCUUCCGGCUCAGCGUCCUUGGCGUAAACAAGAAUCGGCAAUGAUUAUAUUGUUAGCUCGACCACCAGGUAGUCAUGGUAGUUAAAUCAAGUGCUUCGCAAAACCCCUAAGUGCAGCAAAAGCAUCCAUCUACUCAACGUGUGAUACAAGAUGAUCUAAGAUGCUUGCACUGCCAAUUUAUUAUGCAUAUUGUGGUGAAAGUUUGUUUCUCUGAACUCCUUAUAUGUCAAAUAAACUACUAGGGAAGGUGAUGUUCUCUUACGGAGCAACUCUAAAUUGUGUUAUCUGGACCCUGUUUCUGUAUUGAUUACCUUGGCUGACUGCUUUACCAUUUAAGACAUUAUGUUGCUUCACUUUGAGCAAGUUGUCUUGCAUGUUCUACUUGAGCGAUUAUUUCACUACCUACUACAAUUUGAUAGUGCGUUUGGACAUGAUUUUUCUCUUAAUAAAUGUCCUUAUUGUAGAUCAUAUGUAAUUAACCAGAGAAGAGCACCUCAAAUCUGAGUUAGCACACAUUUAAUGCAACUGAUUUGAUUGUGCAUUCUAUGAUGAUUUUUAGCUUAAGAAACUUUUGCUUCUUAUUGUAGAUCAUAUGGAAUUCUUCAACCGUAGAAUAACACCUCAAAUCUGAGAUAGCAUACAUUCAAUCUGGCAGGCAAACAAAUCUGAAGAAAACAAGAAACGGUCAAUGAUAAGUGAUACUGACUUUUUAUAGUCAGUCAGGAAUCUUUGGAAUUGUUCAUCUACAGUUUCUAUAAAUAAGGCGACAUGUUUUAUUAAAAACGUUCCUUUGGACCAUCCAGAUAUGAAGUAUUUUUAUCGAAUUGAUCAGAUUACUGCUUUCUUUAAUCCAACUCAUGUAACCUCUAUUUUUGCAUGUUCAUGGCGAAUACUAUAGGCAUGUUGAGAACUAAUGCUACUCUGCUAAGUGAUACCUCAUUUUUUUAAUUGAUACAGUUUUGAUAUGGAAAAUUAUGGCACUGGUAAACAUAACAUUUCUUUCUAAUUCAGUCAUCAAGUACUUGAUAUACUUAUGGACUCUUGCUACCAGUGGCGGAGCUUGCACAAAAUGGUUGGGCGGGCCAAGCUGUUAUGAUUACUACUAACUGUUAUUUUGUGGGCUGUCUAUAAUAGGAGGAGAAGCUCCAGAACUGGGCGGGCCAUGGCCCAUUCGGCCUUGCCUAAGCUCCGCCAGCCCUUGCUACCAUUAUAAUACAAAACAGAUACGUGCAACAACACACCAUCUUGGAUGCUGGAGCCCAAGAUCCAGACGCCACCGUCGACGACUCCUACUACACUGGAGGUGCCUACUACUACGUGCAGGCCGCUGACGACGACCAGGAG